rnacentral:rRNA from 1 species
UACGUAGGGGGCAAGCGUUAUCCGGAUUUACUGGGUGUAAAGGGAGCGUAGACGGUAAAGCAAGUCUGAAGUGAAAUGCCAGUGCUCAACACUGGAACUGCUUUGGAAACUGUUUGGCUGGAGUGCAGGAGAGGUAAGUGGAAUUCCUAGUGUAGCGGUGAAAUGCGUAGAUAUUAGGAGGAACACCAGUGGCGAAGGCGGCUUACUGGACUGUAACUGACGUUGAGGCUCGAAAGCGUGGGGAGCAAACAGG